rnacentral:rRNA from 1 species
UACGUAGGGUGCGAGCGUUGUCCGGAAUUAUUGGGCGUAAAGAGCUCGUAGGCGGUCUGUCGCGUCGGUCGUGAAAACUUGGGGCUUAACCCUGAGCUUGCGGUCGAUACGGGCAUGACUGGAGUUCGGUAGGGGAGACUGGAAUUCCAGGUGUAGCGGUGAAAUGCGUAGAUAUCUGGAGGAACACCGGUGGCGAAGGCGGCAUCCUGGACCGAGAUUGACGCUGAGGCGCGAAAGCCAGGGGAGCAAACGGG